UACGUAGGGUGCGAGCGUUAAUCGGAAUUACUGGGCGUAAAGCGUGCGCAGGCGGUGAUGUAAGACAGGUGUGAAAUCCCCGGGCUUAACCUGGGAACUGCGUUUCUAACUGGCAGGCUUGAGUGUGGCAGAGGGGGGUAGAAUUCCACGUGUAGCAGUGAAAUGCGUAGAGAUGUGGAGGAACACCGAUGGCGAAGGCAGCCCCCUGGGUCAAGAUUGACGCUCAUGCACGAAAGCGUGGGGAGCAAACAGG
rnacentral:rRNA from 1 species